rnacentral:rRNA from 1 species
GACGGGGGGGGGCAAGUGUUCUUCGGAAUGACUGGGGCGUAAAGGGCGACGUAGGCGGUGAAUCGGGUUGAAAGUGAAAGUCGCCAAAAAGUGGCGGAAUGCUCUCGAAACCAAUUCACUUGAGUGAGACAGAGGAGAGUGGAAUUUCGUGUGUAGGGGUGAAAAUCCGUAGAUCUACGAAGGAACGCCAAAAAGCGAAGGCAGCUCUCUGGGUCCCUACCGACGCUGGGGUGCGAAAGCAUGGGGAGCGAACAGG